UACGGAGGGUGCAAGCGUUAUUCGGAAUUACUGGGCGUAAAGCGUGCGCAGGCGGUUCGGAAAGAGAGGUGUGAAAUCCCAGGGCUUAACCUUGGAACUGCACUUCUAACUACCGGGCUAGAGUACGUCAGAGGGGGGUAGAAUUCCACGUGUAGCAGUGAAAUGCGUGGAGAUGUGGAGGAAUACCGAUGGCGAAGGCAGCCCCCUGGGAUGAUACUGACGCUCAUGCACGAAAGCGUGGGGAGCAAACAGG
rnacentral:rRNA from 1 species